GAUGAACGCUGGCGGCGUGCCUAAUACAUGCAAGUCGAGCGAACAGAUAAGGAGCUUGCUCCUUUGAAGUUAGCGGCGGACGGGUGAGUAACACGUGGGUAACCUACCUAUAAGACUGGGAUAACUUCGGGAAACCGGAGCUAAUACCGGAUAACAUUUAGAACCGCAUGGUCCUAAAGUGAAAGAUGGUUUUGCUAUCACUUAUAGAUGGACCCGCGCCGUAUUAGCUAGUUGGUAAGGUAACGGCUUACCAAGGCGACGAUACGUAGCCGACCUGAGAGGGUGAUCGGCCACACUGGAACUGAGACACGGUCCAGACUCCUACGGGAGGCAGCAGUAGGGAAUCUUCCGCAAUGGGCGAAAGCCUGACGGGGCAACGCCGCGUGAGUGAUGAAGGGUUUCGGCUCGUAAAACUCUGUUAUUAGGGAAGAACAAAUGUGUAAGUAACUGUGCACAUCUUGACGGUACCUAAUCAGAAAGCCACGGCUAACUACGUGCCAGCAGCCGCGGUAAUACGUAGGUGGCAAGCGUUAUCCGGAAUUAUUGGGCGUAAAGCGCGCGUAGGCGGUUUCUUAAGUCUGAUGUGAAAGCCCACGGCUCAACCGUGGAGGGUCAUUGGAAACUGGGAAACUUGAGUGCAGAAGAGGAAAGUGGAAUUCCAUGUGUAGCGGUGAAAUGCGCAGAGAUAUGGAGGAACACCAGUGGCGAAGGCGACUUUCUGGUCUGUAACUGACGCUGAUGUGCGAAAGCGUGGGGAUCAAACAGGAUUAGAUACCCUGGUAGUCCACGCCGUAAACGAUGAGUGCUAAGUGUUAGGGGGUUUCCGCCCCUUAGUGCUGCAGCUAACGCAUUAAGCACUCCGCCUGGGGAGUACGACCGCAAGGUUGAAACUCAAAGGAAUUGACGGGGACCCGCACAAGCGGUGGAGCAUGUGGUUUAAUUCGAAGCAACGCGAAGAACCUUACCAAAUCUUGACAUCCUUUGAAAACUCUAGAGAUAGAGCCUUCCCCUUCGGGGGACAAAGUGACAGGUGGUGCAUGGUUGUCGUCAGCUCGUGUCGUGAGAUGUUGGGUUAAGUCCCGCAACGAGCGCAACCCUUAAGCUUAGUUGCCAUCAUUAAGUUGGGCACUCUAGGUUGACUGCCGGUGACAAACCGGAGGAAGGUGGGGAUGACGUCAAAUCAUCAUGCCCCUUAUGAUUUGGGCUACACACGUGCUACAAUGGACAAUACAAAGGGCAGCUAAACCGCGAGGUCAUGCAAAUCCCAUAAAGUUGUUCUCAGUUCGGAUUGUAGUCUGCAACUCGACUACAUGAAGCUGGAAUCGCUAGUAAUCGUAGAUCAGCAUGCUACGGUGAAUACGUUCCCGGGUCU
rnacentral:rRNA from 1 species